ACAGCUUCUUGGCCUUUUGGCUAAGAUCAAGUGUAGUACCUUUCACAAAUGAGUCUGGACUCAAGCCUUU
rnacentral:sRNA from 1 species